CCUUUCCAGAGCUUCUCGCACAAGUUGAGCGCUCACGCUUAUCGGCUGUUGAUUAAGACAGA
rnacentral:rRNA from 1 species